rnacentral:rRNA from 1 species
UUAAGUUAGAAAGGGCGCACGGUGAAUGCCUUGGCACUAGGAGCCGAUGAAGGACGGGACUAACACCGAUAUGCUUCGGGGAGCUGUAAGUGAGCUUUGAUCCGGAGAUUUCCGAAUGGGGAAACCCACUGUUCGUAAUGGAACAGUAUCUUUAUCUGAAUACAUAGGAUAUUGAAGGCAGACCCGGGGAACUGAAACAUCUAAGUACCCGGAGGAAGAGAAAGCAAAUGCGAUUUCCUGAGUAGCGGCGAGCGAAACGGAAUUAGCCCAAACCAAGAGGCUUGCCUCUUGGGGUUGUAGGACACUCUAUACGGAGUUACAAAGGAACGAAGUAAAUGAAGCGACCUGGAAAGGUCCGUCGAAGAAGGUAACAACCCUGUAGUUGAAACUUCGUUCCCUCUUGAGUGGAUCCUGAGUACGGCGGAACACGUGAAAUUCCGUCGGAAGCUGGGAGGACCAUCUCCCAAGGCUAAAUACUACCUAGUGACCGAUAGUGAACCAGUACCGUGAGGGAAAGGUGAAAAGCACCCCGGAAGGGGAGUGAAAGAGAUCCUGAAACCGUGUGCCUACAAGUAGUCAGAGCCCGUUAACGGGUGAUGGCGUGCCUUUUGUAGAAUGAACCGGCGAGUUACGAUCCCAUGCAAGGUUAAGCUGAUAAGGCGGAGCCGUAGCGAAAGCGAGUCUGAAUAGGGCGUUUAGUAUGUGGUUGUAGACCCGAAACCAGGUGAUCUACCCAUGUCCAGGGUGAAGUUCAGGUAACACUGAAUGGAGGCCCGAACCCACGCACGUUGAAAAGUGCGGGGAUGAGGUGUGGGUAGCGGAGAAAUUCCAAUCGAACCUGGAGAUAGCUGGUUCUCUCCGAAAUAGCUUUAGGGCUAGCCUCAUGUUGUGAGAGUCUUGGAGGUAGAGCACUGAUUGGACUAGGGGCCCCCAACGGGUUACCGAAUUCAGUCAAACUCCGAAUGCCAAAGACUUAUCCAUGGGAGUCAGACUGCGAGUGAUAAGAUCCGUAGUCAAAAGGGAAACAGCCCAGACCACCAGCUAAGGUCCCCAAGUAUACGUUAAGUGGAAAAGGAUGUGGAGUUGCUUAGACAACCAGGAUGUUGGCUUAGAAGCAGCCACCAUUUAAAGAGUGCGUAAUAGCUCACUGGUCGAGUGACUCUGCGCCGAAAAUGUACCGGGGCUAAACGUAUCACCGAAGCUGUGGAUUGACAUCUUAGAUGUCAGUGGUAGGAGAGCGUUCUAAGUGCUGUGAAGUCAGACUGUAAGGACUGGUGGAGCGCUUAGAAGUGAGAAUGCCGGUAUGAGUAGCGAAAGACAAGUGAGAAUCUUGUCCACCGAAUGCCUAAGGUUUCCUGAGGAAGGCUCGUCCGCUCAGGGUUAGUCGGGACCUAAGCCGAGGCUGAAAAGCGUAGGCGAUGGCCAACAGGUUGAUAUUCCUGUACCACCUCCCCGCCGUUUGAGUAAUGGGGGGACGCAGUAGGAUAGGGUAAGCGCGCUGCUGGAUAUGCGCGUUCAAGCAGUUAGGCUGAUGAGUAGGCAAAUCCGCUCAUCAUAAAGGCUGAGCUGUGAUGACGAGGGAAUUAUAGUACCGAAGUUCCUGAUUCCACACUGCCAAGAAAAGCCUCUAGCGAGGCGGGAGGUGCCCGUACCGCAAACCGACACAGGUAGGCGAGGAGAGAAUCCUAAGGUGAUCGAGAGAACUCUCGUUAAGGAACUCGGCAAAAUGACCCCGUAACUUCGGGAGAAGGGGUGCUCUGGUAGGGUGUAUAGCCCGAGAGAGCCGCAGUGAAUAGGCCCAGGCGACUGUUUAGCAAAAACACAGGUCUCUGCGAAGCCGCAAGGCGAAGUAUAGGGGCUGACGCCUGCCCGGUGCUGGAAGGUUAAGAGGAGGGGUUAUCCUUUGGGAGAAGCUCUGAAUCGAAGCCCCAGUAAACGGCGGCCGUAACUAUAACGGUCCUAAGGUAGCGAAAUUCCUUGUCGGGUAAGUUCCGACCCGCACGAAAGGCGUAACGAUCUGGGCACUGUCUCAACGAGAGACUCGGUGAAAUUAUAGUACCUGUGAAGAUGCAGGUUACCCGCGACAGGACGGAAAGACCCCGUGGAGCUUUACUGUAGCCUGAUAUUGAAUUUUGGUACAGCUUGUACAGGAUAGGUAGGAGCCUGAGAAGCCGGAGCGCUAGCUUCGGUGGAGGCGUCGGUGGGAUACUACCCUGGCUGUAUUGAAAUUCUAACCCGCGGCCCUGAUCGGGCCGGGAGACAGUGUCAGGUGGGCAGUUUGACUGGGGCGGUCGCCUCCUAAAAUGUAACGGAGGCGCCCAAAGGUUCCCUCAGAAUGGUUGGAAAUCAUUCGUAGAGUGUAAAGGCACAAGGGAGCUUGACUGCGAGACCUACAAGUCGAGCAGGGACGAAAGUCGGGCUUAGUGAUCCGGUGGUUCCGCAUGGAAGGGCCAUCGCUCAACGGAUAAAAGCUACCCCGGGGAUAACAGGCUUAUCUCCCCCAAGAGUCCACAUCGACGGGGAGGUUUGGCACCUCGAUGUCGGCUCAUCGCAUCCUGGGGCUGUAGUCGGUCCCAAGGGUUGGGCUGUUCGCCCAUUAAAGCGGUACGCGAGCUGGGUUCAGAACGUCGUGAGACAGUUCGGUCCCUAUCCGUCGUGGGCGUAGGAAAUUUGAGAGGAGCUGUCCUUAGUACGAGAGGACCGGGAUGGACACACCGCUGGUGUACCAGUUGUCUUGCCAAAGGCAUCGCUGGGUAGCUAUGUGUGGACGGGAUAAGUGCUGAAAGCAUCUAAGCAUGAAGCCCCCCUCAAGAUGAGAUUUCCCAUAGCGCAAGCUAGUAAGAUCCCUGAAAGAUGAUCAGGUUGAUAGGUCAGAGGUGGAAGCGUGGCGACAUGUGUAGCUGACUGAUACUAAUCGAUCGAGGACUUAACCAA